rnacentral:misc_RNA from 1 species
UUUUCGCAGCUUCGUCAGAGCGCAGCGACAGUAGUUCAUCGCGCAGCGUCAGAAGGCAGCUCGGCUCGAGGCCGACGAUGGGAACCCCGCGCUCGGCGAACGGAAUCAGCGUUUCCACCACGCGCUUGAGUUCGGCUUUUGCAUUCUCGACCAGUCCAGCCGACAGGAAUGUGCGGCCGCAGCAUAGCGGCCGUCCGCCAUCGAUCGCGCGGGGCAGG